rnacentral:rRNA from 1 species
AUGGAGCAGAGCGAUGGGCCGAAGCGGCCGAAGCUCGUUGAUGCUGCCGACGGCGACGAGGACCGCCUCAGCGUGCUGCCCGACGACAUUCUCAUUGACAUCCUCGCCAAGCUCCACCGCACCACCAUGGACGCUCGGACCAGCGUCCUCUCCCGCCGCUGGCGGGGCCUCUGGAAGCUCCUCCCGGUGCUCAACUUCCCACUCGGCACCGAGCCGCCCCUCGGCAUAGAACCGAAGCACAUAGUCUCCGCCCUCACAUCCCACGAAGCGCCGGUCAUCCGCCACCUCAUCGUUAGCCUCCGGGAGGCCGCUGCGGAGUCGGUGGCGAUGUGGCUCCCCAUCAUCGCGCCCCGCCUCUUCGGCGAACUAUCCAUCUUCAAUCUCAGGUGGGACCGGGACAGGGAAAUAGGCACCGUUGAGCUGCCUUGCUUCCAGAGUGCCGACCGGAUCUGCCUCAACCUAGACGAUCAUGGCCUCGCCCUGCCGCCCUCCGGCGUGUUUGCCCGGCUCACCUAUCUCCGUAUGAUAUCCAUUAGGAUGCGUGGUCCCUGCAGACUCGGUGACAUUGUCUCCUCGCCACGGUGCCCAUUGCUGCAAAAGCUCUUCCUACGUGACUCCUAUGUCCAGGAUGACGUUGUUGUAAUCCACUCAGAGUCUCUCUUAGAAAUAGGGAUAGAUAAUGUGUUACUACACCACGACGCCUUGGGUCUGCGCAUCCUCGCCAUUUGCUCAGAGUCUGUCCUCCAAAUAGAUCUGAAGAAUUUAGCCUUGCGGCAGCUCCUUGUCGUGGCGCCCGCACUCAUUUCGUUGAAAGAGAAAGGCACCCACUACAUUGCUGAUGCUGUGGAUCUGAGUCAACCAGUUGUCAACAUCUCAGCCCCUCAGCUCAUGUUGCUUGAAUGGAAUGCUAGUUAUGAUCGAAGUUCCGUUCAGUUUGGCAAGAUGGCACAUCUCCAAUGGCUGCACGCUGGUCAAUUUCUUGUAUAUGGAUCAGAUGAGGAUUUUGCACACAAUCAUAUCAGGCUUUUGUAG